CUGUACUUGGGGCUUCGGCAACUUGAGCAUCGGCAUUUGUCUCCCCUGCCUCAGCUGCUUCAUUACCAUGCACGUCCUCAGCAGGGAUCUGAGGUACCUCAUCCAUGAAUUCAGACCUGAGUUGAGUCAGAUCCAAAUUGGGAUACAACUCCUCUGCCCGCUCCAUCACCUCGGCAUAGGCAAAGUUUCUCCAGUAUGCACUGAAGCUCUUAUACUCGUCUGUGUUGUGGAAGUUGGCAACGUACUCC
rnacentral:lncRNA from 1 species